AAUUUUUAUAAUGGAAGACCAGUUUACUGGAAGUGUCUCUUUGGGGUUCCUGUCUGAGGGAAAAUAACUGACUCUGUGGAAGCAAUGAGACUCUGCCUCUGGGAUUCCUCUUUUCCAUCCAUCUGAUCUACACCGAGAGAUUUAUCCACCAGAGAUCAUCUGUUCCUGUCAACUGUGUUCCUGAUUUCCAGAGUCUUAAACAUAUUAGAUUUAUUGACAAGAGCUGACCUGAGAAGCUAAAAUCUGUCUUUCGUCAAACUGAAGCCUGCAGCCUCUUGGCUGGACCCUGUGGAGAACUUUGCCAGUUUCUCCAUUCUGCAUGAGUUACCUGAACUAGAUUUCCUCUACAAAAUAUUAUUUGGUGGAGGGCAAUAGACAGGAUAGCUAGAUAGAUUUGGGGUUUCAGAGAUAGAGUAGUUUUAAGGAACAUCAAGAACCAGAAGAGGACCCUGUGAAGGGCUGUAGUUUUGGGAAUAUAUAGAGAGAAUUAUAGUUUAGGGAAUUUCCUUUGGCCCUCCUUCUGUUUCCCUAUUUAAAUAUUUUCCACCCAAAACCCAUUUUUUGCAUAAGGAAAAGCAGUCAGAUUGCAUUUGUCACUGGGUAAGACCUGAGAACUUCUAGUUCAGCCUACCAGCCUGACCCAGACAGAGACACUAGUUAUCAAAUUAAGAUCUUGAAAAGUGGAACAACUCACAUUAUUCAUGAGUAUUCUGGGAACAAAUAUGUUCCGUGUAGUUCAUUUACUAAGAGAAACCAUCGCCAGAAAAUAAUAUGUUCCUGGUGAGAGACUAUUCCAAUGUCACAUAUUUGUCAAAAAGAAAACUUGGGAGCAAUUUAAAAAGGACCUAAUUGAAUUCCUCACUUAAACCAAAUUGUAUCAUGACUUUUGAAGCUGUCAACUACCAUAAUAGUUUUACAAAGCUCAGGACCUUUAAUCCAAGAAACUUAGGAAGAGCAAUGCUUUCUUCUAAGCCUUUACCUUCCAACUCAUUACAGGAAAAUAAUAUCCAUAGAGAUGCUAACUGGCAACAGCACUUCUACAUGCUUCUACCACAGAAACUGAAGACCCAGAAUAGAAAGUCCUUGCAUAUAUCAAAUAAUUCUCUAUCAGAAAUUGUUAUAAUUUUAUGCAUGGAAAUGAUGCUAAUUAAUAGAAAUUUAGUAUUUGCUUUGCCAUCACACUUGAAUGGCCAUUGGAAUUUUCCAUAUGACUUGAGGUUUAAACAGUUCAUAUACGUUUCCUCCCAUCAGUACAUAUGACUUAUCAUAGUCCUUUGUACAUAAUAGGCAUUUAAUAAAUGCACCAUCCAUCUAUCCA
rnacentral:lncRNA from 1 species